GACAAGUGGGACUAUCUCUUAAAAGUUCAUUCAACUUUGAUUUUGCGUUUGAAUUUCGUAUCAGAGUAAUUAUGUAGACGCAUUUACAUGAAUUUUUGAAAAUUUUUGGCCAGAAGAAUCCUCACAAAGUUAUAUCUUUUGGACUGACAAGUGACCAAAGAUCUACUUUUGAUACAUUCACAGGACCAAAUUCCUGCACAGUAUCCCCAAGACACUGUCUUUCUAUAAAGACAUUUAUUCGUUGCCUUGGAGUCAGAAACAAUGAAUUGUAUGUCAACUGUUUGCAAGUAUCAUUGUUGGUGCUAUAUUAUUUAAAAACAUAGUGCAUCAAGAUACAUUCACAAUUUCAGCUCGUUUUGCAAUGAAUCACUGACCUUUCUUGAUGUUCCAAGUUGUUGAUUGGCGGUACUUCAGUGCUUUCUUGUGAUUCCUGGAUUUCCUCUGUUUCACUCUCAUACAACAAUUCUUGCUCAACUGGCUCUUCAAGUGCAUUCUGGAACGUAAAUUCUGUUCGCUGUUGGAUAAAGAGUCUUGUCAAGAUAGUAGUCCGUAAAAACUUUUAUUUCACGAAUCUGGAUUGUUGCUGGGGAGCCAAAUUUUUGACUGUUCUGCAAUUUUUCAUAUGUUUUGGUGGCGUAAUUGUGCUCAGCAGAUUUUUUUUGUUUAUUUGCCCCUCCUCGCGAGUCCUAAAAAUGGUCAUUUUGCUUAGCCUGUUGAUUUAAAAUGUGAUAACUGUUUAAUAUAUCUCGUUGUAAUACAGCGUUUGAAAUCUGACCUUUUCUGAUCCAUGUAUGCAUUGCCUAGUUUAUGUGCUUUCUAUUGUAAAUGGAUUUCCGAAAAUCGCAAUUGGUACAUUGCCUUUAUUAUUUUCGAAAACGGGUGGAGCUAUAAAAACACGUAGAGAUGAUGCUUAGGUCCGUUAGUACUUUUGUAAUAAUUAGCGUAAAUUAAAAUUUGUAAAGUAAACUCCAAUGAACACUUUUUUCAGUUACAUAUUGUAUUUUUGCAGUGCCGUACUUUUUGAUGCUAUGCACUCCAUGUAAUCU